AAAUAAGAAGCAAAAUUUGCAGUUAGUUUCGACCUAACCUUUGAUAUUAAUAAUAAAUAUCCUUAUUUU
rnacentral:tRNA from 1 species